GCGGUGCCAUCUCAUGAGGUCUCCUCAUCGUCUUCUUCCUCCCACGGAAACCACCGCCUACUCCACCCGCUCUGGCCAGCUCACGGAGGAAGAAGCAAAUCAGAUUUGUUUCAAAGAGAGAAAGAAAUCGAGUGCUCCACACACACUCUGUCCUAUCAUACGAACCUCUCUCUCUCUCUAAUACCGUCAUAAAAGUCUUUCAAUUAAGUUUUCGAGCACGGAUCGUGGAACCUUCUCGAAGCCUCUUCCCUCUUACUAUUCUAAUUUUGCAAAGACCUUGAUUAUUCCACCAUGCCUAUUGUUCAAUUAUUUACAUGUUGGCUGGCACAGUAAAAUUGUCACAUGGAAAACAGGGAGUUAGAAGUACUACUUGAUAAUUUGGGGAUCAAAAGAGAGAUUGCAGGAGAUUUCAUAUUGGAUAAUGUUGAGCACUAUAUGAAGUUUUAAUUAACCUCAUUCGAGAGUCUUAGCUACUUGUAAUUGCAUAAGUUAUCAUACCGGAAAUAUAUUAAUUUAUGAAUCACAAACUAUUUGUAAUUGUUCACUAAAUCUUAUAAAAGAAGUUUGGUUUUAAUU